CUUGCUAGUUUGCAGAGUGGUGUCUGGAGUACGGAGCACAUGGUUGCCGCAUUCCCGACAGGCCCUACUCUCUCUUCGAAGGCAUGGCCGGCGCCAUUCACUUCCUCUCCGACAUCCUGGCCCCCGAGACAGCACGGUUUCCAGCAUUUGAACUCGGCUCUUCAGAGAGGGAUCCAAAGGUGCAAAAAGACUCCUAAGGGACCCCACGGGACCACAGGCCGCCAGGUUGCCUGGCGCCUGACACAGAAGCCACCGUGCAUCCUGAGGAAGGGAGGACGGAGGGAGCAGAGCCCCGCAGACCCCCGCCCCGCCAGCCUGCUGUGACCGUGCUCCCCUCGCUGGUGUCAGCGUGACGUCUCCGUGUCCAGUGCUGCGUAACGUUUGCAUGUCCCUCGGUGUUUGCUCUCCGUAGGCGUAGGUUGUUCUCAGCGGAAGCCCUUCUCUGUCCAUGAGCCCGAGCUGGCCGUGCAUGAGGGCACACGGCAGCCCCUUCUCCGUACCCAAUAAAGCGGGGUGCUUCUGUGUUGGCAGACAGGACACAGGCAGGUGGUGUCUCUCUUAUGUACCAGAAAGACUCUCUUUUAAGAUGCCAUCCCAGUGUGAGACUUUUCCCAGCAUUUCCUGUGGGACCCUUUUGGGGGAGCUUAAGAGAAAGACUGCUCCAGAAAUGAAAAGAAAUAGCGGAGGUAGAGGGGCUUUCGCUGGAGGGGGGCUGGGGAGCCUUUGCCCCAAGUGGACCAGCCCCUCUGUGGGUCUUAUGCUCACCUUCGUGGUUUUAGGAAGCCCGAGGGGGCGCGUGGCAGCUCUGCUGGGCUCCCACUUGCAGGCUCUUAGUGUGAAGUUCCAGACCCUUGAAAUCCAGGGCAGUCCGUGCCCUGGGGAGGGGACCGAUGACACCGGUGACGGCGGUUCGGGGGAAGCCUUGUCAUGGCCACAUGCGAACCGAGCAGUAGUGCCGUGUUUGUUACUAAACAGACUGCACCUCAGUUUUAUCAGCAUCGUAACGUCUUGUUCCAAGUUCAGCAGAUACAGUUCCGGAUGGGCAGUAAGCAGAAAGACAUUCAGCUGUUCCCAUGUCCCUCCAAUUAAACUUAUUUCAAAAUU
rnacentral:lncRNA from 1 species